UACGGAGGGUGCAAGCGUUGUCCGGAAUCAUUGGGUGUAAAGGGUGUGUAGGCGGACCUGUAAGUCAGGGGUGAAAUCCUGCGGCUUAACCGCAGAACUGCCUUUGAUACUGCAGGUCUUGAGUCCUGGAGGGGUGGCUGGAAUUCGUGGUGUAGCGGUGAAAUGCGUAGAUAUCACGAGGAACACCAGAGGUGUAGACGGGUCACUGGACAGGUACUGACGCUGAGGCACGAAAGCGUGGGGAGCAAACAGG
rnacentral:misc_RNA from 1 species